rnacentral:lncRNA from 1 species
UUUUUAUUUUCCUCUAAAAAAUGUUGUUGGGUUUUCUUUUCUUUCCAAAAAGCAUCUGGAUUGAUGGCAAUUAAACACACCAAUAGCGCUCCAGACAAGGGCUGCCGUGAUUGCUAUUUACAGACAAAUGGGUGCAGAGAGAUGAAGUGGUUUGUUUACCACUCCACAGUAAAUCAGGAAUAAGAAAGGCAGCACUGAGAGUCCGUGGUGAGUCCCUGGCUCUUUGUAAUCAUGUACUCCUGCACACUGGAAGGAGCACUGUGCCCUGUCAGCACAGUCACAUUUAACCCUCGUUCUGUGCCAGUGUCAAUGACGUUGCAAGGUGGUGAGUGGUGGAGAGCAAGGCCUCUGAUCUACAAGAGUGAGGGUGUUCAGGUGGGGAGCAGAUGAUGAAAAAUAAUGAAAUUAAAGCACAGCAAAGAGUAAAUUAAAACAUCAAGAAAAACUCAAUUGUGGUAAGAUUAACUGCAGUAUAACCUCCUACAGGAAGCAGCAAAGGCAGAGCAUUUUAAUCAUUUAAAACAGGACUAAACAUAGUUUUGGGUAACAUAUUACAGCACUGGAAUAAAUGACUAUAAGCUGGUGCAGCUACUGAAGGCUUAACCAUAGCCCUAAUAUUCCUAGGAUGUGGUAGGUUUCCAAGGAGGCUAUUGAGUUAAUGCAUCAGCCACCCGAGACUGUUCUCUAGACUAAGAGGUUAGGAGUGCUAACAAAGCACAUUGCUAGCUUGCAUGUUUAAGUCAGCAUGUAGGUCUAUUUAUCUAUCUAUACAUGUAUGUGUCUAUUUAUUUAUAUGUGUAUGCAUGUAUAUGUGUAUAUAAAUAUUACAUCAGGAUAGAUUAUGACAGAUGUUAAAAAAAAGGCAUCCCUUUGCUGAAUCAGCCUCAAACAUGCUUCAUGUAGUUCUUUUAGCUCCAGUGUUGGUAAAAUCACUGUUCAGAAACAGGACACUUGAAAUGUUCCCUUAUUAUCUACAAGCUGUUGGGUGCAUCACCAUUCCUGGGUGUGAGUAGGGCCUUGAAGAGGCGUUUGUGCAUGACCACAGUAAUUAGCCGAAGUGUAUGACGGAUGGAAAGCUGGGUGAUGGUAUUCCUCACUCUGCCCUUCGUGGGUCCCACCUGAUAUGAAAAGGGGACUUGAGAA